CCCUAAUCAGGAUAGGGGAGAGAUGUGUCCCUCUGUAGUAGCAGCCACUCAGAGUGCCAAUAAACUGUUGAGAGGAGAACUAACUGAUAUUUCUAGAUCUACAAUAGCACUUUAUAAUUCAACAGAUCUUCUUCACACACAUUCCUCUCACAAAAAAGGCAUCAUUGUACUGUCAGCCAGGAAUAACACUGCUGUUUAUGACUUUCUGAAGCCACAAGCAAAAAGCCUUCAUGUUCUCACCUGACUUCCAGUAAUGCAGAGCAACCUGAUGAAACAUCUACUAAUUUUCCUUUCAUCUGGGAGAAGAAUGGAUACUGAUUUUAUGAGAGAUCUUUUCCACUAAAUUUCUUAAUUAUACCUUUGUAUAAUUAGUUUGAUAAAAUUAAUCAAAAACAAACAACCAGUUGUUUAUAAUUUGUUACUGUGUCAAGCUCUAAGAGGAUCUUGAAAUCUGCUGUGUUUUGCAUUUUACAAUGAAACAUUUUUAAAAGCUAAAGGGAAACAAUAAAAUAACAAAAAACAAAAAACAAAGACUGAA
rnacentral:lncRNA from 11 species